CUCUUCCGGGUCACUCAUGGGCGGAAGGUGGUGUGCAGAGCGGCUUCUGUGCUCUUCCUAGGAUGGAAGCAGCAGCUGGGAGACAAAGAGGAUGGCAAUAAGAGCACUCUGGACAACUGAGAAUAACAAGCAACUUUACAUAAAAAGUCAAGGGAGAUUAUUUUUCAUUCAGAAAAAAGGGAUAUAUCUCUGGAAGUCAGUGGGGAGGAAAAGGUCAAUUGCCAUGCAGUGUUGCAGUCCUUGCCCUGGGAGGAAAAAAAACAGCGUGAAACAAAACACCACUAAACAAGGGACCGUCCAUAUUUUUGACCUCCUCAGGAAUAUCAGUUGUGGAAAAGUUUCAUAGACGUGCCUACUGUAGGAAAGAGAAAAACUGCAAAUCACAGCUGAUUAUGCAUAAGAGGAUUCACACUGGAGAAAAACCAUACAAACACUCUGACUAUGACAAACCAUUUGGUCAAAACAGCUCUGUUAUGGUUCAUGGAAGGCUAGAGCAGCCCUACAAGUGCUCCCAAUGUGGUAAAUUCUUUAGUGAGCAUGGCAAAUUGGUGAUACAUCAGAGGACUCACACCAGGGAAAAACCAUAUGAGUGUCCAGAUUGUGGGAAAAGUUUCAGUCACAAUUCCAAUCUUGUGAAACAACAGAGAACUCACACUGGGGAGAAACCUUUUGAUGUCCUGACUCCGGGAAAAGCUUGAGUUACAAUUCCAACCCACUGAUACACCAGAAGAUUCACAUAGGAGAGAAACCCUUUGAAUGUUGUGAUUGUAAGAAAUCUUUCAGUCAGAAUUCCCAUCUUGUACAACACCAGAGGAAUCACACAGGAGAGAAACCCUUUGAAUGUCCUAUCUGUGGGAAAGGUUUCAGGCAGAAAUCUAGCCUGAUGAACCAUCAGAGAACACACACAGGAGAGAAACCCUUUGAAUGUCCUGAUUGUGGGAAAAGUUUCAUUAGAAAUUCCCACCUCAGGAGGCACCAGAGGACUCACGCAGGAGACAAGCCCUAUGAAUGUCUUGAUUGUGGGAAAAGUUUCGGUCAGAAUUCCCACCUCAUGAGACACCAGAGGACUCACACAGGAGAAAAACCCUUUGAAUGUCCAGAUUGUGGGAAAA